GCCACCACCCUAGGGUGGCGGCGCAGGAGGGAGAAAGGAAAUUCCGGCGACCGGAAUUGAGCGGCGGUGAACUGCUAUGUGCUGGUUUAUGGAAUUCUGAUGGAAAAAGUGAAGGACAUCGAUGGUGCUAAUGUGGAAAACAACAAUGCGUAUGUGACGGUUUAAUUUCAUAUUUGAGCCUUCUAACGAGUUAUUGAAUUUCAUUUGUGUGUUGAGUUUAAUUUAUUACGAAUUUACCGAUCAAUCGAUUAUUGU
rnacentral:lncRNA from 1 species